GAUAAACCUGCCAGGUGUAAUGGUUGUUUGUUACCAUGGUAACGCAGAGAAAGCUUUAAAUGUACAGGUCAACUCUCAGCUUCAGUCUCAAGCUCUUGGUAGUGAAGCGAAGGAGGAGAUCGCAAAACUACAUUUCCCAUCUGUCUCGGGAAUGUCGUGUUCCCCCAGGAAUAGCUGGAGGUAGUUUCUGGGAUGCUCUUCUUACACUCAGACUUUAACUUUUUGAGCAGCUCUCGGAUUUUCCCCGCCUGGAGCCGGAACCUCAGCAGCUGCAUCUCCAAAGCGAUGCAGCGUUUCUGCCAAUCCACGCUGGCCACUCUGACAGCUCCCGACCCGCCGCCGCCGCUCUCCAGCACGUCGGCCAUGGCGAGGAAUCAGAGCUCUGCCUUUGGACUCAGACUGCAACUGAAAGAUAGAAAAAACACACGCCUACUCAUAUAGGCACAAGAGGAGAGCGAAGUGAUUCAACCUCUAUAAAUGCUCUUUGCCUGACCGCACUUCCCAUGAUUCACUGAGGAAAUUGUGCUUCCUCCUCUCUCCGUGUGUGGUCCGCUUGAUGAGCUGCAGUGUGGCUUCAAGUUAACAAAUGCUAGUGUUGGAGGUAGAGGUCAUCUCGCUUUUGGCCACUGCUGUGUGGUGUACCGUGGCUUUUUGGAGCUUUUUCUCUGAAAAAAGCUGCCUGUUGCAGGUGAAAACAACACUAUGAGAGCGGAGAGAGCAGGCGGCAACCUCUGAUUCUGAAAAGUGAAGCCAACGUGGAAGUGCUGUAAACUUGCAUUCUUUCUAAUAGCCAGCAGGGGGCGACUCCUCUGGUUGCAAAAAGAAGUCUGAUUGUGUAGAAGUCUAUGAGAA